rnacentral:rRNA from 1 species
GAGUAACGCGUGAGGAACCUGCCUUCCAGAGGGGGACGAACAGUUGGAAACGACUGCUAAUACCGCAUAAGCCCACGGUGCCGCAUGGCACAGAGGGAAAAAGGAAGCAAUCCGCUUUGAGAUGGCCUCGCGUCCGAUUAGCUAGUUGGUGAGGUAACGGCCCACCAAGGCGACGAUCAGUAGCCGGCUUGAGAGAGUGAACGGCCACAUUGGGACUGAGACACGGCCCAAACUCCUACGGGAGGCAGCAUG